rnacentral:lncRNA from 1 species
UUUGGCUUAUAACUCAAAAACCAAAGCAUUAAGAGCAAAUCUGACAGGUGGUAAAAUUGUUGAUCAGGUCACAAUCUAUCUGCCCUGGAAUUUUCAGAUGAAUCAGAUAAUCGGUUGUUAGGUUGCUGCCCCUGAAUUGGUAUUUUUGAGGAAAUUUUGCUGUUUUGUUAUUAUCUUGAAUAUUAUUAUAGAUAGAGAUAAACUGUAAACAGCAAUAAUGUACAGCAAAGUAAGAACUAAAAAUAAGUCAGUAUUACCAAAAUAGUCAAUUGACCCCCUAAGGAGUUAUUGCC